GGCUGAUCUGAAUGCCGUGAGUUAUUUUAACUGAUUGUUUACAGGCAGUUACAGAUCGAACUCCUUGAACUACCCUUUCCCCUUUCUUUCUGCUGCACUUGGUUAGUCUUAA
ensembl:misc_RNA Y_RNA Y RNA